rnacentral:rRNA from 1 species
CCUACGGGAGGCAGCAGUGAGGAAUAUUGGUCAAUGGGCGCGAGCCUGAACCAGCCAAGUCGCGUGAGGGAUGACGGCCCUACGGGUUGUAAACCUCUUUUGCCGGGGAGCAACGGGCGCCACGUGUGGCGCCACUGAGAGUACCCGGAGAAAAAGCAUCGGCUAACCCCGGGCCAGCAGCCGCGGUAAUACGGAGGAUGCGAGGGUUAUCCGGUUUUAUUGGGUUUAAAGGGUGCGUAGGCGGAACGUGAAGUCAGUGGUCAAAUUGAGGGGGUCAACCCCUUCCGGCCAUUGAAACGGGGGGUCGUGAGUGGGCGUGAAGUACGAGGAAGGAGUGGUGUAGAGGUGAAAGG